rnacentral:rRNA from 1 species
UACGAAGGGGGCUAGCGUUGUUCGGAAUCACUGGGCGUAAAGCGCACGUAGGCGGAUCUUUAAGUCAGGGGUGAAAUCCCGAGGCUCAACCUCGGAACUGCCUUUGAUACUGGGGAUCUCGAGUCCGGGAGAGGUGAGUGGAACUGCGAGUGUAGAGGUGAAAUUCGUAGAUAUUCGCAAGAACACCAGUGGCGAAGGCGGCUCACUGGCCCGGAACUGACGCUGAGGUGCGAAAGCGCGGGGAGCAAACAGG